GGCGCACCGAUCUUUAAUGGCAGAGUUCGCGUGCCUAAUACAUGCAAGUCGAGCGAAUGGAUUAAGAGCUUGCUCUUAUGAAGUUGGCGGCGGACGGGUGAGUAACACGUGGGUAACCUGCCCAUAAGACUGGGAUAACUCCGGGAAACCGGGGCUAAUACCGGAUAACAUUUUGAACCGCAUGGUUCGAAAUUGAAAGGCGGCUUCGGCUGUCACUUAUGGAUGGACCCGCGUCGCAUUAGCUAGUUGGUGAGGUAACGGCUCACCAAGGCAACGAUGCGUAGCCGACCUGAGAGGGUGAUCGGCCACACUGGGACUGAAACACGGCCCAGACUCCUACGGGAGGCAGCAGUAGGGAAUCUUCCGCAAUGGACGAAAGUCUGACGGAGCAACGCCGCGUGAGUGAUGAAGGCUUUCGGGUCGUAAAACUCUGUUGUUAGGGAAAAACAAGUGCUAGUUGAAUAAGCUGGCACCUUGACGGUACCUAACCAGAAAGCCACGGCUAACUACGUGCCAGCAGCCGCGGUAAUACGUAGGUGGCAAGCGUUAUCCGGAAUUAUUGGGCGUAAAGCGCGCGCAGGUGGUUUCUUAAGUCUGAUGUGAAAGCCCACGGCUCAACCGUGGAGGGUCAUUGGAAACUGGGAGACUUCUGUGCAUAAAAGGAAAGUUGGAAUUCCUUGUGUAGCGGUGAAAUGCGUACAACAUAUGGAGGAACCCCAGUGG
rnacentral:rRNA from 1 species